GUCUACGGCCAUACUACCCUGAACGCGACCGAUCUCGUCUGAUCUCGGAAGCUAAGCAGGGUCGGGCCUGGUUAGUACUUGGAUGAGAGAAAGGGAACUGUUACAGCAGAAU
rnacentral:rRNA from 1 species